ACUGCUAGAUGAAGUUUGCAACAAAGCAAAAUGCUAUGUUCUUGUUGGAGGUGACUUCAAUCUUAAUU
rnacentral:pre_miRNA from 1 species